GCCAGCCUGGUCUACAAAGUGAGGUCCAGGACAGCCAGGGCUAUAAAGAGAAACCCUGUCUCGAAAAACCAAAAAAAAAAAAAAAAAAAAAAAAAAAAAAAAGAAAACAGUUGCUCUGUGAGGUUCUAGUUCUCUGGCCCCAAAGAGACCAGCAGAGAGAAAAACACAAGUCAGGAUGUCCACUCAUAGGCUCAAAACCUUACCUGUCAGUGGCAAUUGAGAGAAGCUAUGGAAGACCAGAGUAUGCCAGCCAACAGACUAAAGAACUCUCAUAGCCAGUUAUGGUGGCCAGAGUAAAAUCCCUCCCAAAACAAAGUUUCAAAAUCAUGUAAAAGUUUAAAGAAUUAAGGUUUAGAGCUGGAGAGAUGGCUCAGUGGUUAAGAGCACUGACUGCUCUUCCAGAGGUCCUGAGUUCAAUUCCCAGCAACCACAUGGUGGCUCACCACCAUCUCUAAUGGGAUCUGAUGCCCUCUUCUGGUGUGUGUCUGAAGACAGCUUAAGUGUAUUGUAUUGUAUAUAAAUACAAUAAAAAUUAAGUUUUAUAUAUGAACCAUGCAAGACUUCUUAGCACUGAUGCAAAGCCCAGCAAUGACACUGCAGUUGCACAAAGUGGAGGGGUGGGUUCCAUGCUGCUAAAUCAGUGGCAGAAAGGCUCCCACUCCUUCCCCCUGCUUGGUCUGUCUGUAUGUGUGUCUUUCUCUCCCUCCCUCCAUCUGUCUUCGCCCUCCCCAACUGUCUCUCUUUCUCCCCACCCCCACCCAUGUGUAUGUCUGUCUGUCCCAGAAGGAGAGCACUUAGUGCCUCGGCAUUAAGGGACACGUGGUCCAUUUUGUGAGCAGGGAACAGGGUAGAGAUGAGUAAAGUUCUGUCUUGGAGCUGGGCUGAGUGGUAAGAAGCUCACCUGACAUUCACAGGACCCUAGGUGUUGGGAGGUAGGGUAUCAGCUGGUCUAACCAUCUUGACUUGGUUGCAUCUGAUGAAAAAAGAGAAAAGUAAAGAUGAAGUUAUUCAAAUACACCUAAAACUGAAAGCCUCACAGCUGGGUAUGGUUCUUGGUUUGGUCAGUUUCCUACACUCUUCCUGUUCAGUAGGACUCCACAGCACAGUGAGGUUUCCUAUAGCAGGAGAUUUCCUAGGCUCUACUGGCUCUCAGCAAUGCAGACGGAUGCUUGUGGAGAGCCAGCCGUAUACACUAACCUGAAAGUUACCAUCCAAAAGUGAGGGAUCAGAUUGCCGCUUUCCCACUUUGCAAUUACUUGGAAUGGUUGUUAUAGCCAGAUGGUGCCCCAUACCUUUAAUCCCACACUAAGGCAUAAGCAGGCAGAUCUCUGUGAGUUCAAGGCUAGCCUGGUCUACAUAGCAAGUUCCAGGGCUACAUAAUAGGCUAGAAAAUUGGCUCAACAGUCAAAAGCAUUGGUUUCUUUUGCAAAGUACCCAGGUUCCAUUUCCAGAACCCACUUGGCAGUUCACAACUGUCUGUAACUCUGUUUCCCCGGGAUCCAAUACCUUCUUUAUAAUGGCCUCCAUGGUACACAUACAUGCAUGCAAGCAAAAUAUUCAUACACGUAUGUAGGCUUAGAUUUUUUGAAAACCUACUUUAAUAAAGGUUCUUAAAUGCUUAGGCCUUCUUUCUAACCCAGCAACCAAAGGUAAGGGAGAAAGAGAUUACUAGGACAAGGGGGAUGUGGACCUGUUUAGAAGUAGUUCUUUGGGGCGAUUCCAAUCUUCAUUGUCAAGAUAUCAGCAGUCCAGUCCAAAACAUCAAACACAAAUCAAUAGCAGUAGCUAAAUGAAUUAGAAAUCACAAGAGUCCUCAUAAGUGUCAGGAAGCAGCCAGAAUACCACGAGAAGUUCAUUUUUCUCUACAAAGUCACGACAAGGGAAUAUCAGUGAAGACCAGCAGAGCAUUGCAGUGCAAGUCUAUGCACAAGCACCUUUCACUAUCUGCUGUGUUAUACUUACGCUCUCUGCAAACAUCACACAUCCUUUCAAGUGUCUGCCUCAGCCAAACAUCCUCUCAAUAGACCUCGUCCAGGAAAACACCACAUGACACAACCGAGUCUCCAAAGAAACCUGAAAUUGCCCCUUCACACAUGAAUAAGUAAUUUUUAACUCAAGUGUUCAGCUGUCUCAUAAGGAAUGCAAACUCAUGCCUUAGGUGUGUACUGUCCUUUUCCAAUACCUAUCUCUCCUCUAAUGCUUAAGUCUAUAUUAAAACUCUUGU
rnacentral:lncRNA from 1 species